UUACGGCCUUAGCCCGUUGAAACACCGGUUCUCGUCCGUUCACCGAAGUUGAGCAACGUUGAACCUGGUCAAUAUUUAGAUGGGUGACUGCUCAGCAAUACCAGGCGCUGAA